GAGAAAAUAUUUUGUGACUAGAUAUUCAUAUCCAUUUGAAGAUGGCAAUGGGAUGAUUCUUCCAAAUUUAGAUAAAGGGGAAAGAAAUUUGUGUGUUGGUAAUUUGUGGAGGCAUCGGCGACCUUGUUUCUAAUGGAGGUGAUAAAAGUGACGAGGUACAGUGACCAUGACUGUACUAUAGCGAGGGCGGCAGAGAUGAUAAUUCAUGUUAGGACAGGCAAAGUCAACCAAAGAUAGUAACGGAUUUAGUAGGUUUUUAGGAAUAUCUAUUUCACCCUCAUCCUCUUCAUCGCGAUUGCCAUCUCUAAUCAUUAGAAUCCAAUCUACAAACUCUCUUA